AAUUAACUAUUAUUAUUGUUAUUUUUAGGCCGUUUGGUUUGUGUUCAAGUUGUAACUGAGAGAGUUAGGAAUGAACAUCAUAUCAAUAGAGGAUAAAUCCAUUGAGUUUAUAAACAGUUUAAAUGGUGAGUUACUUAAGAAGGAGGCAACCACUGACUCAAGGAGUGAGACCUUCUCUUCAAUAAUGAAGUUUAAUUUGGUGAGACUAACAAUAAUCCACUACCAAAGAGUACCCCUCCAGUAUCAAGGACUGAUCUAUGUGUUCAAGAGGGUAAUCUCCUCUCCACUUUAAGUACUUCAUUAAAUAUUCCUACAUGUAAGUCACAUCACCAGGUACAACACAGUAUAUAUA